rnacentral:tRNA from 1 species
GGUGGGGUAGCUCAGUUGGUUAGAGCGCAGGACUCAUAAUCCUGAGGUCGAGAGUUCAAGUCUCUCUCCCACCACCA